CUCCUGAAAGCAGCAGCUCUUCUGUUGGUGCCUCACCAGGACCUCCCGGAUCCUUUAGUCUCCUUCACCCAGUUCAUCCCCUGUUACUGUAAGCACUUAAGGACGAUCCUGCUGUUUUUCAAGACGGUUCAUGCUGAGUGUAGAUCGGAACAUUGUAAGCAACAACAUACCCUCCUUCGUUUCUGCCCUGUGCAUGAUGUUUGGGAGCUAUUAUUGCUUCACCAUCCAUUACCCAUCGGAGCUGGCAUCAACUCUGGGGUUUCUGCAGAGGUGUCAUUUUGACUUGGCUUUACUCAAUUAUUUACACACAAAUCUAAAGUAGCUGCUGCAUUUAACUUCGAGGUUAACCCGUCAUUGCACCUUCUUACUAUUAUAAGAGGCUUUAAAAUAAUCUGCUUAUUGUUAAUGAAGUGGGUUCAUUAUUAAUAUGGUCAUCUGUGUUUCUAUUUCCCAAGGUGUUUUUUUCUCAAUCAACCCAGAGAAGGGCAUUAAAGUGCAGGAGACAAACGCAUCCCGUCUUCAUGUUAACCCCAGAAUAGUUACCUCAAUUCAAGAACUUUCAGAUCAUGAGUGACGUGAUGUCUGACUAUGAACAGUAAUAUUUAUGGCAUUUAUUGACGUGCCUCACUUUUAUAGUUUGAAUUUUUGUUUCAGUUCAUUAUCUGCUCAGCUGUACAAGUUCAAGAAGCAAAUUUUGAGAAGGUUCAGCAAUUAACUGUUGAAGGCAUUACAGAUGAAGCUUCAGCAAGCCCCAUUUGGGACCAGGCAGUACGUGAUUGUG